CAUUAGAUGUCUGAAUUAUAAGAAUUGAUCUUUUAAAUCAAAUAUAGUAAAUUAAAAUUACUUCUAAUGA
rnacentral:tRNA from 1 species